UUUUUGAAUCCCCCUUACGGAGGAAAAGAAACUAACAAGGAUUCCCCUAGUAGCGGCGAGCGAAGCGGGAAGAGCUCAAAUUUAUAAUCUGGCACCUUCGGUGUCCGAGUUGUAAUCUCUAGAAAUGUUUUCCGCGUUGGACCGCACACAAGUCUGUUGGAAUACAGCGGCAUAGUGGUGAGACCCCCGUAUAUGGUGCGGACGCCCAGCGCUUUGUGAUACAUUUUCGAAGAGUCGAGUUGUUUGGGAAUGCAGCUCAAAUUGGGUGGUAAAUUCCAUCUAAAGCUAAAUAUUGGCGAGAGACCGAUAGCGAACAAGUACCGUGAGGGAAAGAUGAAAAGCACUUUGGAAAGAGAGUUAACAGUACGUGAAAUUGUUGGAAGGGAAACGCUUGAAGUCAGACUUGCUUGCCGAGCAAUCGGUUUGCAGGCCAGCAUCAGUUUUCCGGGAUGGAUAAUGGUAGAGAGAAGGUAGCAGUUUCGGCUGUGUUAUAGCUCUUUGCGGAUACAUCUUGGGGGACUGAGGAACGCAGUGUGCCUUUGGCGGGGGUUUCGACCUCUCACACUAUGCACACUGCGUAUCGGG
rnacentral:rRNA from 1 species